rnacentral:rRNA from 1 species
UACGUAGGGGGCAAGCGUUGUUCGGAUUUACUGGGCGUAAAGGGCGCGUAGGCGGCAAUUCAAGUCAGCUGUGAAAUCUCCGGGCUUAACUCGGAACGGUCAGCUGAUACUGCUUUGCUAGAGUGCAGAAGGGGCAAUCGGAAUUCUUGGUGUAGCGGUGAAAUGCGUAGAUAUCAAGAGGAACACCUGAGGUGAAGACGGGUUGCUGGGCUGACACUGACGCUGAGGCGCGAAAGCUAGGGUAGCAAACGGG